rnacentral:rRNA from 1 species
UCCAGCAGCCAUAUCACCCUGCAACUCACAACUGGCAACCCACUGAAGCUAAGCAGGUGUGAGCCUGGUCAGUACCUGGAUGGGAGACCUCCUGGGAAAAACUAAGGUUGUUUUUC